GGGCGUUUGGUCUAGUGGUAUGAUUUUUGUUUUCGGUGCGAGAGGUCCCGAGUUUGUUUCUUGGAACGCCUC
rnacentral:tRNA from 1 species